rnacentral:rRNA from 1 species
AGUGAACGCUGGCGGUAGGCCUAACACAUGCAAGUCGAACGGCAGCACAGUAAGAGCUUGCUCUUACGGGUGGCGAGUGGCGGACGGGUGAGGAAUACAUCGGAAUCUACUUUUUCGUGGGGGAUAACGUAGGGAAACUUACGCUAAUACCGCAUACGACCUACGGGUGAAAGCAGGGGAUCUUCGGACCUUGCGCGAUUGAAUGAGACGAUGUCGGAUUAGCUAGUUGGCGGGGUAAAGGCCCACCAAGGCGACGAUCCGUAGCUGGUCUGAGAGGAUGAUCAGCCACACUGGAACUGAGACACGGUCCAGACUCCUACGGGAGGCAGCAGUGGGGAAUAUUGGACAAUGGGCGCAAGCCUGAUCCAGCCAUACCGCGUGGGUGAAGAAGGCCUUCGGGUUGUAAAGCCCUUUUGUUGGGAAAGAAAAGCAGCAGGUUAAUACCUCGCUGUUCUGACGGUACCCAAAGAAUAAGCACCGGCUAACUUCGUG